GGUGAUGUGGCACUAGGAGACUUUAUACCAGAUGCCCUCCCUGUUACUGUGUUUAGAGGAAGAAAAGCAGCACAUGGCAGAGACCAGAGCUUCACUGGAAUAAAUCUUCACACUGUCCAGCUCCAAACUGUGUAUCUCUGUCCCUGUGUUCUCUUUGUGUUUGAUUCUGUUUAAGACAAUACAGAACUGUGGAAAACUAAA